UAGAUGCGAGAGUAGAGCAUAUCAAUAAGCGGAGGAAAAGCAACUAACAAGGAUUCCCUUAGUAACGGCGAGUGAAGCGGGAAGAGCUCAAAUUUGAAAUCUUCAAGGUUCUACCUUGACGAAUUGUAGUUUAUAGAAGUGUUUUCUGUUGGAGUUUUGGUAAAAGUUCUUUGGAAUAGGACAUCAUAGAGGGUGAGAAUCCCGUAUUUGACCAUUAUUUCCAGCUGUGUGAUACACUUUCAAAGAGUCGGAUUGUUUGGGAAUGCAGUCCAAAAUGGGUGGUAAAUUUCAUCUAAAGCUAAAUACUGGCGAGAGACCGAUAGCGAACAAGUACCGUGAGGGAAAGAUGAAAAGAACUUUGAAAAGAGAGUUAAACAGUACGUGAAAUUGUCAAAAGGGAAGCGUUUGACACCAGUGUUGUUUUCUCGAAAAUCAAUUAAAAAUGGUGGGAUUUUGUGUUGUAUUGACCUUUAAUCAGCUUUCUUCACUUUUUUCCUAUCUUUUUUAAUGCACUUUUCGUUUAACAAGUCAACAUCAGUUUCUUUUGUUGUAAAAGAGGUCAUUGGAAGGUGGCUUUCUUUUCGGAGAAAGUGUUUAUAGCCUUUGGCUUCUGCAAUCGGAGAGAUUGAGGUCUGCAGCGUAGAUCCUUCGGGGUUAGAUACAUUUGUGCUAAGUUAUAGCCUUUCAUAGACAACUUGUUGACUAUGAUCAGUCAUGUAGCUUACUCGCUUAUGUCAUUUUACCUACGCUUAGGAUGUUGAUAGUCACAGCGUGUAC
rnacentral:rRNA from 1 species